rnacentral:rRNA from 1 species
GACGAACGCUGGCGGCGUGCCUAAUACAUGCAAGUAGAACGCUGAAGGAGGAGCUUGCUUCUCUGGAUGAGUUGCGAACGGGUGAGUAACGCGUAGGUAACCUGCCUGGUAGCGGGGGAUAACUAUUGGAAACGAUAGCUAAUACCGCAUAAGAGUAGAUGUUGCAUGACAUUUGCUUAAAAGGUGCAAUUGCAUCACUACCAGAUGGACCUGCGUUGUAUUAGCUAGUUGGUGGGGUAACGGCUUACCAAGGCGACGAUACAUAGCCGACCUGAGAGGGUGAUCGGCCACACUGGGACUGAGACACGGCCCAGACUCCUACGGGAGGCAGCAGUAGGGAAUCUUCGGCAAGGGACGGAAGUCUGACCGAGCAACGCCGCGUGAGUGAAGAAGGUUUUCGGAUCGUAAAGCUCUGUUGUAAGAGAAGAACGAGUGUGAGAGUGGAAAGUUCACACUGUGACGGUAUCUUACCAGAAAGGGACGGCUAACUACGUG